GGCGGCGUGCUUAACACAUGCAAGUCGAACGAAGCGCUUGAAUGGAAUUCUUCGGAAGGAAGCUCAAGUGACUGAGUGGCGGACGGGUGAGUAACGCGUGGGUAACCUGCCUCAUACAGGGGGAUAACAGUUAGAAAUGACUGCUAAUACCGCAUAAGCACACGUGAUCGCAUGAUCGAGUGUGAAAAACUCCGGUGGUAUGAGAUGGACCCGCGUCUGAUUAGCUAGUUGGCGGGGUAACGGCCCACCAAGGCGACGAUCAGUAGCCGGCCUGAGAGGGUGAACGGCCACAUUGGGACUGAGACACGGCCCAAACUCCUACGGGAGGCAGCAGUGGGGAAUAUUGCACAAUGGGGGAAACCCUGAUGCAGCGACGCCGCGUGAAGGAUGAAGUAUUUCAGUAUGUAAACUUCUAUCAGCAGGGAAGAAAAUGACGGUACCUGACUAAGAAGCCCCGGCUAACUACGUGCCAGCAGCCGCGGUAAUACGUAGGGGGCAAGCGUUAUCCGGAUUUACUGGGUGUAAAGGGAGCGUAGACGGCAGUGCAAGUCUGAAGUGAAAGCCCGGGGCUCAACCCCGGGACUGCUUUGGAAACUGUGCAGCUAGAGUGUCGGAGAGGCAAGCGGAAUUCCUAGUGUAGCGGUGAAAUGCGUAGAUAUUAGGAGGAACACCAGUGGCGAAGGCGGCUUGCUGGACGAUGACUGACGUUGAGGCUCGAAAGCGUGGGGAGCAAACAGGAUUAGAUACCCUGGUAGUCCACGCCGUAAACGAUGACUACUAGGUGUCGGGGAGCAAAGCUCUUCGGUGCCGCAGCCCACGCAAUAAGUAGUCCACCUGGGGAGUACGUUUCGCAGAAUGAAACUCAAAGGAAU
rnacentral:rRNA from 1 species